rnacentral:rRNA from 1 species
GUACACUCCUGCGGGAGGCAGCAGUGGGGAAUUUUGGACAAUGGGCGAAAGCCUGAUCCAGCAAUGCCGCGUGAGUGAAGAAGGCCUUCGGGUUGUAAAGCUCUUUUGUCAGGGAAGAAACGGUGAGAGCUAAUAUCUCUUGCUAAUGACGGUACCUGAAGAAUAAGCACCGGCUAACUACGUGCCAGCAGCCGCGGUAAUACGUAGGGUGCAAGCGUUAAUCGGAAUUACUGGGCGUAAAGCGUGCGCAGGCGGUUUUGUAAGUCUGAUGUGAAAUCCCCGGGCUCAACCUGGGAAUUGCAUUGGAGACUGCAAGGCUAGAAUCUGGCAGAGGGGGGUAGAAUUCCACGUGUAGCAGUGAAAUGCGUAGAUAUGUGGAGGAACACCGAUGGCGAAGGCAGCCCCCUGGGUCAAGAUUGACGCUCAUGCACGAAAGCGUGGGGAGCAAACAGGAUUAGAAACCCUAGUAGUCCCAUGAU